rnacentral:rRNA from 1 species
GACGAACGCUGGCGGCGCGCUUAACACAUGCAAGUCGAACGGAAAGGCCUGCUUUCCCUUGUGGAUUGCGGGUACUCGAGUGGCGAACGGGUGAGUAACACGUGAGUGAUCUGCCCCCAACUUGGGUAUAAGCCUGGGAAACUGGGUCUAAUUCCCGAUAGGACUGCAGGGUGGUGCCUGUGGUGGAAAACGAUUUUCUAGUGGUUGGGGAUGAGCUCGCGGCCUAUCAGCUUGGUGGUGGGGUAAUGGCCUACCAAGGCGGCGACGGGUAGCCGGCCUGAGAGGGUGCACGGCGACAUUGGGACUGAGACACGGCCCAGACUCCUACGGGAGGCAGCAGUGGGUAAUAUUGCACAAUGGGCGGAAGCCUGAUGCAGCGACGCCGCGUGGGGGAUGACGGCCUUCGGGUUGUAAACUCCUUUCGACCGCGAGGAAGCCACCUGGUUGGAAGGGUGGUGACGGUAGUGGUAGAAGAAGCACCGGCUAACUACGUG